ensembl:lncRNA
CUUUUUAGGACAAUUAUCCAACUGCUUCCAACAGAACACUGGGGGAGGAAAUCACUGUGAGGAAGCCACGUAUUGGAGCAGUUUGCCCUGGGCUGUUGAACUGCCUCCAUCCUUGUACAUUUUCCAGACCUACCUGGAUAAAACCUGAGUGCCCUGAUCAGAUAGAUCUCAGAGCCAACCCAGCAGAAGUUCUUGUGGGAGAGGAGGAAGGAUGAUAAUGACAGCUCCCUUGUGCCCACACCUGGAAACUCUUCCACCCUUCCUCCUCGUGCUGGAGGGUGAUGUUCAGCGCAUGUUGAAGGCUUCCAGCAACUGAUUCAUUACCCCAUCAUACCAGAGUAGCAUCCAGCAUUGCUGUGUCAGUCCAGGGAGCCUUGUUGUAAAAUUUAGGUCUUACCAAUUCCUGCAAAGCACCAGAAGCCACAGAUAUCUGUCAUCCACUGGUGACGUAAAGACACAUAAUCGUGGUUAGAAAAUAUUUCAAGGAUGCAUUAGUGUUUCACUAACGUAAAUGUGAUAUUUACGUAUAGGUAAUAUUCUAAGUGGCAUCUUCGUGGUUCCCCUACAAUUAAAAUAAUCAGUGGAAAGAUGCCUUCUCUUUUUUUUUUUUCAGCAGUACAUUUGAUAUCUCAGCCAUUUAACACAGCAUUGAAAACAUUUUCUUUCGUGCUUUAAACCUAGAUUUGAAUAUAUCUAUUUUCUAUGAACCGAGUUCAGUACAAACAUGAUAAAAUUCUCACUAAAGGAAAGAAGCACCUGGUGUAUACUGAACUUGCUUAGGAGAUGGAUGGGAGGCACUGCAAAAAGUUGACUCAGCAAGAAAUCUUUCUGCAGAUUUUCAAGGAAAGGCUUUUUGCUCUUGCAUCUUUACAAACAUCUCUGGAUAUACUACAACAGCCCUAUAUGUAGACACACUUAUCCUGGAAUUGGCUGCUUUUCUAUUCACUGAGGCAGGAAAAAAAAGAUAUUUUUCCCCCAGAACACAGGAAUGACAUGAACAGCAAUACCUGCUGAAAUUCAUGCAUACCCUAAUGCUGUAUACUGUAUGCAUACUGUCACAUUUUUUUCAAAUGGAGAAAUACUAAAUUUAUUUCCACGUGUGGCUCUCUUGUAUCACUUAGCAUUGAUGUAUUAUUAAGGAAAGCCACGACUACCUAUGACUGCGUUGCACAUUCUGCAGGAACACACCUACUAGCCCUGAUAACAUGGCCAUGUGAUUUGCAUAAUAACUUUCUGUCUAUCUAAAUUCACGUUUCUAUUACGACUGUGCAUGCGAUUCCUAGUGUUUUUCUCUGCUGUUAAACAGAUGCUGCAUUUCAGACUUGGUGAAAUAGUUCUCUCUCUCUAUUUUUUUUUCCCUUCACAGAACUGCUUUGGGAUCUCUUUAGCUGAAAGAUAGCAUAUAAAUGCAAAUCACCCUUGGCCACAUAGCCCAGAAUUACUUUUGCAUUUUAUUCUUGAUCUGCUUCUGUAUAUAGAGCAUUCCUGAAAGACAGUGAAAUUAGAUUUACUCAUAUGGCUGACCUGCUUUGAGGAAAACAAACACAUGAUAGCCUUGUGCUACAUGAAUGUCAUGAUCUAAUGAAUGGUCCUGCUGAAAAGUAUCUCCUUUAAUUAAUUACUGACAAGACAAUUUCAUUUCAUUUAUAGCUUUAGAAAACAAACAAAGCAAAAAAUCCCAAAGCCUACAUAUAUGUAUGUCACACCUUCUCAAGUUUCUUUUUUCCCUAGUGUUAUUAACACAGAUAUAUACAUUUGCACCAAUAAUUGCUCUUUGUUUGAAUCCUUUUAAGCAAGUCUCCUUUAGUAAUGACUAUCACAAAACAUAUUCUGGCAGAAUAUGCAAAUUCUGCAAAAGAUAAGUCUGUUUAUGUUACUCAGUAAAGACAUAACGUUUACUCAAGAACAGAAACUCUACCUGCAUGCAAAUUAAAUUUAGAGCACUCCUUUGCAGAUAGUUAAAGUCUAUCAGGCCAGGGGCAAUCCAUGAAUGUGACUGCAGUGACGGAAGGUAAAGUGAGUAAGAAGUCUGAUCUGCAGACAGUGCACAUGUACCCGAUGCAGGAAAAUUCCCUCCAUGGGAUUGUCAAUGGUUUGUUCACCAUCCACAAGAAUUGGCUGCCUGUGUUAUGAAACUUUGGAAAAGCAGACAGAAAAGAAAUACGAAUAAAAACAAAACUCCAAUUAAAAGAGCUAGAGCCAAGUGCUUACUGCAUCACGCCUUUCAUUCGCUUUCAUUGAGUCAUGGCUAGCAGGUGUCACCUAUGGUUUCAGAUCCCGCAUAUUCCUGGCACUGCCCACGUGCCAGCAAGGGGUUUAGGUGAAUACUCUCCCAGUUGUAGGCUGAUAGGCAUAGUGGCAAAGCAUGGAUAGUGCUGGUGUGACUUCCAUGGGAGACCGGAGUACUCACUGGGAAGCAGAUGUUGCAGUGAAGAUGUAAAAGCAGCACAUGUAACUAUGGCAUAGCCAAGGACCACAGAAGGAACGGGAGUUUCUUCAUGUGCCUCUGAUGGGGAAGAAAGCAAGCAGCAGUUGUGCUGAGGAAGCAGCUCAGGACAGAUUUACCAGCAAACCAGAUCACUUCAGGGCUUGCCCAGCUGAAAAUGAAGAGAUAAUGUAGAGAGGCAGAGUGCAAACCAGCAUGUAAAUAUUCAUUUUAUCACCUCUCAUCUUGUGAGAAAUGUGUCGUGGCUUCCUCCAUACCUACAGUUGCUCAGGGCUCUUGUUUCAUAGCUAAAGAUAAUUCUCCUGGUAGCAUGAUACAAAACAGUGGUGAAUUGUUUGACUCCAGAAGCUGGCUACCAACGAACCAGCUUUAUUUCCUCCCUACAACUCUCCACGCAUUCCAGGACUGGACCUCAUGCAUUGCAGGAGCACAGGGAGGGAUGCAGGAGCAGCAGGCAAUUUGUUGGCACCAUUUGGCCUUGACACAAAGAGAUGAGCUGAGGCAUUUCGGAAGGCCUUACGGACAGCCAACAGAAGGAUGCUUGUGACAGCCAGGCUGGGAGCAAGGCAAAGGGGAACAAACCCAGAGCAGGACUCUUUAGUAGGGUCUGUUGUGACAAGGGUAAAUGGUUUCAAACUAAAAGAGGGGAGAUUUAGAGUGGACAUAAGGAAGCAGUUAUUUACAAUAAGGGCAGUGAAGCACUAGAACAGGGUGCCCAGAGAGGUGGUGGGUGGCCAUCGCCGCAGACAUGCAAGGUCAGGCUGCAGGGGGCUCUGAGCACCCUGAUCUGCUGUAGGUGUCCCUGUUCAUUGCAGGGCAUUUGCACUAGGUGGCCUUUGGGGAGCUCUUCCAGAUCAAAUGAUUUCAUGAUUCUAUAAAAAAAGAUCUCCAGAACUUCAGAAGCAGCAAAUAUCCUCUGUGCACACUCCCUAGGUCGUGUAGCUGGCCAUGGGUGACACUGAUCGCUCCAGCAGACACGACGUGCUGCCACUGUGUCAUGCAUGGCGCCUCGGCAGAUGCGCUCCUCCCAGAGCCAAUGUAUGUAAGUACUGAUCUUAUUGACUCUGAUACCAAUGGACGCGAUGUGACGCUGGAAUAAAGCCACAGCUGUGCCUCGCAGAAACCAGGGGGAACAAAACAGCGGCAAGCUCUGGAGGCAACGCUUUCUCCGCGGGACCCCGUCCUGCUGGUUGUCUCCUUAACACGCCGAUCUCAAAGGGAACGCGGGGGCCUCUCUCCGCCCCACCUGAGGAUGUCUGCACACAAACCCCGGACGGCGGUGGCCGGGCUGCCUCGCUCCGGCCUCCGGGCACGAGGGUCG